rnacentral:rRNA from 1 species
CCUACGGGAGACAGCAGUGGGGAAUAUUGCACAAUGGGGGAAACCCUGAUGCAGCGACGCCGCGUGAGUGAAGAAGUAAUUCGUUACGUAAAGCUCUAUCAGCAGGGAAGAAAAUGACGGUACCUGAGUAAGAAGCCCCGGCUAACUACGUGCCAGCAGCCGCGGUAAUACGUAGGGGGCAAGCGUUAUCCGGAUUUACUGGGUGUAAAGGGAGCGUAGACGGUGCGCCAAGUCUGGAGUGAAAUGCCGCAGCUUAACUGCGGAACUGCUUUGGAAACUGGCGAACUAGAGUGCGGGAGGGGUAGGCGGAAUUCCUAGUGUAGCGGUGAAAUGCGUAGAUAUGAGGAGGAACACCGGUGGCGAAGGCGGCUUACUGGACCGUAACUGACGUUGAGGCUCGAAAGCGUGGGGAGCGAACAGGAUUAGAUACCCCGGUAGUC